UACGAAGGGGCUAGCGUUGCUCGAAAUGACUGGGCGUAAAGGGCGCGUAGGCGGCGGUCACAGUCAGAUGUGAAAUUCCUGGGCUUAACCUGGGGGCUGCAUUUGAUACGUGGUUGCUUGAGUGGGGAAGAGGGUCGUGGAAUUCCCAGUGUAGAGGUGAAAUUCGUAGAUAUUGGGAAGAACACCGGUGGCGAAGGCGGCGACCUGGUCCUUGACUGACGCUGAGGCGCGAAAGCGUGGGGAGCGAACAGG
rnacentral:rRNA from 1 species